GCGAACGGGUGAGUAACACGUGAGUAACCUGCCCCUGACUUCGGGAUAAGCCCGGGAAACUGGGUCUAAUACCGGAUACGACUGCCGGACGCAUGUCUGGUGGUGGAAAGUUUUUUCGGUUGGGGAUGGGCUCGCGGCCUAUCAGUUUGUUGGUGAGGUAAUGGCUCACCAAGACGACGACGGGUAGCCGGCCUGAGAGGGCGACCGGCCACACUGGGACUGAGACACGGCCCAGACUCCUACGGGAGGCAGCAGUGGGGAAUAUUGCACAAUGGGGGAAACCCUGAUGCAGCGACGCAGCGUGCGGGAUGACGGCCUUCGGGUUGUAAACCGCUUUCAGCAGGGAAGAAGCGCAAGUGACGGUACCUGCAGAAGAAGUACCGGCUAACUACGUGCCAGCAGCCGCGGUAAUACGUAGGGUACGAGCGUUGUCCGGAAUUAUUGGGCGUAAAGAGCUCGUAGGUGGUUGGUCACGUCUGCUGUGGAAACGCAACGCUUAACGUUGCGCGUGCAGUGGGUACGGGCUGACUAGAGUGCAGUAGGGGAGUCUGGAAUUCCUGGUGUAGCGGUGAAAUGCGCAGAUAUCAGGAGGAACACCGGUGGCGAAGGCGGGACUCUGGGCUGUAACUGACACUGAGGAGCGAAAGCAUGGGGAGCGAACAGGAUUAGAUACCCUGGUAGUCCAUGCCGUAAACGUUGG
rnacentral:rRNA from 2 species